rnacentral:rRNA from 1 species
AAAGAUCUAAAUAAAUUUAAAAAUUUUUGUUUCAGAAAAAAAUUAUAAAUUUAUUUAGUUGUGAAAUUCUAAUCGCUUUUAUUUAUAUCUAGUAGUUUUAGAAAUAAAUUUAGUUUAAAAUAAUAAGGAAUUUUUUAUUUUUAAUAAAUUCUUAAUUUAUUUUUAAGUCUUUGGGGAUAAGCUCUAGGAUUGUUUAUAAGAAAUAAUUUUAUUAAAUUUUUUAUAGGCUUAGAAUUAGUCAUAAUAAUUUGUUAUAAAAAAUAAUUUAAAGUUUUGGAUUUUAUUUUCUUUUAUCAUUAUAAAGCUAAUUAUAAAAUUUAUUUUAUUUUGUAAAUAUGAUAAUAUUAGUAGAUUUACUAUAAAGAACUCUUUUUAAAUUUUUCUUUAUUUUUUUUUUAAAUUUAUUUAACAAAAGAACUCGGCAAAUUAAAUUUCCGAAUGUUUAACAAAAACAUUUCUUCCUAGUUUAGGAAGUAAGGCCUGCUCACUGAAAAUUUAAAGAGCCGCAGUAUUCUGACUGUGCUAAGGUAGCAUAAUCAUUAGUCUUUUAAUUGAAGACUGGUAUGAAUGGCUUAACGAGAAAUUGACUUUUUUUGUUAUAUAAAUUGAAUUUAAUUUUUUAGUGAAAAAGCUAAAAUUUUUCAGAAAGACGAGAAGACCCUAUAGAGUUUUAUGUUAAAGUUAUAUUUUUUAUUAUUAGAUUUUUAAAGAAUUUUAUAAUUAAACAUUUUGUUGGGGCGACAUUAAGAUAAAAAAAACUCUUAUUUUUUAAAAUUUUUUUAGAAAUAUUUAUUGAUCCUUUAAAAAAGAUUAUAAGAAAAAAUUACCUUAGGGAUAACAGCGUAAUCUUUUUUGAGAGAUCUAAUCGACAAAAAGGUUUGCGACCU